rnacentral:rRNA from 1 species
AUUGAACGCUGGCGGCAGGCCUAACACAUGCAAGUCGAACGGUAACAGGAAGAAGCUUGCUUCUUUGCUGACGAGUGGCGGACGGGUGAGUAAUGUCUGGGAAACUGCCUGAUGGAGGGGGAUAACUACUGGAAACGGUAGCUAAUACCGCAUAACGUCGCAAGACCAAAGAGGGGGACCUUCGGGCCUCUUGCCAUCGGAUGUGCCCAGAUGGGAUUAGCUAGUAGGUGGGGUAACGGCUCACCUAGGCGACGAUCCCUAGCUGGUCUGAGAGGAUGACCAGCCACACUGGAACUGAGACACGGUCCAGACUCCUACGGGAGGCAGCAGUGGGGAAUAUUGCACAAUGGGCGAAAGCCUGAUGCAGCCAUGCCGCGUGUAUGAAGAAGGCCUUCGGGUGGUAAAGUACUUUCAGCGGGGGGAAGGGAGUAAAGUUAAUACCUUUGCUCAUUGACGUUACCCGCAGAAGAAGCACCGGCUAACUCCGUG